GAUGAACGCUGGCGGCGUGCCUAAUACAUGCAAGUCGAGCGAACGGACGAGAAGCUUGCUUCUCUGAUGUUAGCGGCGGACGGGUGAGUAACACGUGGAUAACCUACCUAUAAGACUGGGAUAACUUCGGGAAACCGGAGCUAAUACCGGAUAAUAUUUUGAACCGCAUGGUUCAAAAGUGAAAGACGGUCUUGCUGUCACUUAUAGAUGGAUCCGCGCUGCAUUAGCUAGUUGGUAAGGUAACGGCUUACCAAGGCAACGAUGCAUAGCCGACCUGAGAGGGUGAUCGGCCACACUGGAACUGAGACACGGUCCAGACUCCUACGGGAGGCAGCAGUAGGGAAUCUUCCGCAAUGGGUGAAAGCCUGACGGAGCAACGCCGCGUGAGUGAUGAAGGUCUUCGGAUCGUAAAACUCUGUUAUUAGGGAAGAACAUAUGUGUAAGUAACUGUGCACAUCUUGACGGUACCUAAUCAGAAAGCCACGGCUAACUACGUGCCAGCAGCCGCGGUAAUACGUAGGUGGCAAGCGUUAUCCGGAAUUAUUGGGCGUAAAGCGCGCGUAGGCGGUUUUUUAAGUCUGAUGUGAAAGCCCACGGCUCAACCGUGGAGGGUCAUUGGAAACUGGAAAACUUGAGUGCAGAAGAGGAAAGUGGAAUUCCAUGUGUAGCGGUGAAAUGCGCAGAGAUAUGGAGGAACACCAGUGGCGAAGGCGACUUUCUGGUCUGUAACUGACGCUGAUGUGCGAAAGCGUGGGGAUCAAACAGGAUUAGAUACCCUGGUAGUCCACGCCGUAAACGAUGAGUGCUAAGUGUUAGGGGGUUUCCGCCCCUUAGUGCUGCAGCUAACGCAUUAAGCACUCCGCCUGGGGAGUACGACCGCAAGGUUGAAACUCAAAGGAAUUGACGGGGACCCGCACAAGCGGUGGAGCAUGUGGUUUAAUCCGAAGCAACGCGAAGAACCUUACCAAAUCUUGACAUCCUUUGACAACUCUAGAGAUAGAGCCUUCCCCUUCGGGGGACAAAGUGACAGGUGGUGCAUGGUUGUCGUCAGCUCGUGUCGUGAGAUGUUGGGUUAAGUCCCGCAACGAGCGCAACCCUUAAGCUUAGUUGCCAUCAUUAAGUUGGGCACUCUAAGUUGACUGCCGGUGACAAACCGGAGGAAGGUGGGGAUGACGUCAAAUCAUCAUGCCCCUUAUGAUUUGGGCUACACACGUGCUACAAUGGACAAUACAAAGGGCAGCGAAACCGCGAGGUCAAGCAAAUCCCAUAAAGUUGUUCUCAGUUCGGAUUGUAGUCUGCAACUCGACUACAUGAAGCUGGAAUCGCUAGUAAUCGUAGAUCAGCAUGCUACGGUGAAUACGUUCCCGGGUCU
rnacentral:rRNA from 1 species